rnacentral:rRNA from 1 species
AUUUGGCGGACGGGUGAGUAACACGUGGAUGAUCUACCCGAGGCAUGGGGAUAGUCACUAGAAAUAGUGGGUAAUACCGAAUACGGUGCGCAUCGUGAGGGUGCGCAAGAAAGGUGCUACGGCACCGGCCUAGGAUGAGUCUGCGUCCCAUUAGCUGGUUGGUGAGGUAAGAGCCCACCAAGGCGAUGAUGGGUAGCCGGCCUGAGAGGGUGUACGGCCACACUGGGACUGAGAUACGGCCCAGACUCCUACGGGAGGCAGCAGCUAAGAAUAUUCCGCAAUGGACGAAAGUCUGACGGAGCGACGCCGCGUGGAUGAAGAAGGCCGAAAGGUUGUAAAGUUCUUUUGUUGGGGUAGAAUAACCAUGGGAGGGAAUGCCCGUGGGAUGAUAUGAACCGACGAAUAAGCCCCGGCUAACUACGUGCCAGCAGCCGCGGUAA